rnacentral:rRNA from 1 species
CUCUUUAGCUUGGCAUUUGAAUCGGCUUUGCUGUUGCGAAGUAGAGUGGCGGCUUCGGCUGCCGAGGGUCGAUCCAUUUGGGAAAUGUUGUGUACUUCGGUAUGCAUCUCAAUUGGACCUGAUAUCAGGCAAGAUUACCCGCUGAACUUAAGCAUAUUAAUAAGCGGAGGAAAAGAAACUAACAAGGAUUCCCCUAGUAACGGCGAGUGAAGCGGGAAGAGCUCAAGCUUAAAAUCUCCGUGCAAGUUUUGCGCGGCGAAUUGUAGUCUAUAGAGGCGUGAUCAGUGUGGGCGCUUGGGGCAAGUUCCUUGGAAGAGGACAGCAUGGAGGGUGAUACUCCCGUUCAUCCCUGAGUUGCUCGUGCGUACGAUCCGUUUUCUUUGAGUCGCGUUGUUUGGGAAUGCAGCGCAAAGUAGGUGGUAAAUUCCAUCUAAAGCUAAAUAUUGGUGCGAGACCCGAUAGCGAACAAGUACCGUGAGGUAUAGAUGAAAAGAACUUUGAAAAGAGAGUUAAAGAGUACCUGAAACUGCUGAAAGGGAACCGAAUCGUUUCCAGUGUCUAUAAUCCGUGGUAUAUUUCAUUGGCGAGUGUGUGCGUGCGUGUGCUGUGGCAGCGGCUUUUUUGGCUGCGCUCGGCGUGUGUGCUGUGUGUGCUUGCUGGUGCCCUGUGCUGCGGUGGGACGUCAAGGUCAGUUCGUAUGCUGCGGGAAAUGGCCGCCGAGGAGGUAGGGCUUACGCUUGCGUUUGUCUGUUAUAUCUUGGUGGACGAGUAGUCGCGGUUGGGACUGAGGUGCCUACAACGUGUUUUUGAGUGGGCCUGUGUCUCUGUGUGCGCCGUGUGCGGAUAGCUUGCUAUGCGUGUGUGGUUGUGUGUGAAUUGAUGUGGGUUUUAAACUUGUUGCCUUUCGGGAGCGUGACGAAAAUGAGAGCGUUUUGACCCGUCUUGAAAACCGGCGCCCCAGAGGAGUCUAACAUGUGGUGCAAGUGUUAGGGUGUGGAAACCCCAGCGCGAAAUGAAAGUGAAGGGCAGCGUAAGUUGUCUGAGGUAGGAAAUGCUGCGGGCUUCGGUCUGCGGUGUGGCACUAUCGACCGAUCAUGAACCUUCGUGGGGAAAGAUUUGAGUUUGAGCACAUAUGUUGGUACCCGAAAGAUGGUGAACUAUGCCUGAGUAGGGUGAAGCCAGGGGAAACUCUGGUGGAAGCUCGUAGCGAUUCUGACGUGCAAAUCGAUCGUCAAACUUGGGUAUAGGGGCGAAAGACUAAUCGAACCAUCUAGUAGCUGGUUCCCUCCGAAAU